UACAGAGGUGGCGAGCGUUAAUCGGAAUUACUGGGCGUAAAGCGUGCGCAGACGGUCAUGUAAGUCGGGUGUGAAAGCCCCGGGCUCAACCUGGGAAUUGCAUUCGAGACUGCAUGGCUAGGGUGCGGAAGAGGGAAGCGGAAUUUCCGGUGUAGCGGUGAAAUGCGUAGAUAUCGGAAGGAACACCAGUGGCGAAAGGCGGCUUCCUGGUCCAGCACCGACGUCAGGCACGAAAGCGUGGGGAGCAAACAGG
rnacentral:rRNA from 1 species